UCUGCAGUAACACUUUAUAUUAAGGUGACGUACUUACAUUUUACUUACUCAAAUAAGUACUGAGUAAUAAUAAUUAACUAUAAACUGCGUGUUUUUGCUCACACCCAAAUUUGACAAGCUAUAAUAAAUGAUCUGUGGGGUAUUUUGAGCUGAAACUUCACAGACACAUUCUGGGACACCAGAGACUUAUGUUACAUCUUGUGAAAGGGGCAUUAUAGGUCCCCUUUAAAUUAAGUUUAUUUUUCUGACCUCAUUGGCAGAUAAAGUCUUAAUAUCUUCAGUCAUUUCUCUUCUCCAGUAAAUGUAUCUUGAUUUAAGAAUGUUUAGAUUUUUGUGCUGAAAACAAGACAGAAACACUGAGGAAGAACAUGAUUUUUGUCAGCAUGUAGUACAAGGAGUUUUUUAUGAAAUUGGUGUUGCAGAAACACGGGAAGAACAAGCGUCAGACGGGAAGCUUCUUCACUGUUUCCCCCUCACUGUCUUUGAGUAAAAUAUAAUGUUAGAUAUUUUUUCUUUUAUUUUAGGCCAUGUUUGUGAGAUUCAGCCUGUUUGUCUUUAACCCAGUGACCUUCAGCAGUGUGUUUGUCAGCACUAAACUCCCACAGAUUAAACCGCAGAUAUUAGAGCGCAGACGAAGCCCUUACCGGACGUGCUCACACUGUUCCCAGUAUUACUGUGUUUUGACUUUUGUGGUCUGUUUUAGAGUCGGAUCGACACAUUCUCAGCUCUGCGUUCGGAUGAAUUCACACGCAAAGUGGUUAAUGUUAGUUUAUCAUUAACUCUGGAGUUACGGGCGAUUGUUCGCUCUCAUGAUGAUUCAGUUCUACAGAAGCUGAAUCUAUGUUUAGAAAUCAACAUAAAACACAUGAAGAGGGUCGGAUGGUUUUACACAUUCCUCUUUUGUAGUUUUUUUUAAUCAUAAUGUCAUACAUGAUCUGAAGAGGGUUUGCAGAGGGUUUGUGAUGCCGGUAUGAGCGCUUCCUCAUGUUCAUCAGGCUGAUCGACUCCUUGAACUCUUGAUGAACUGGUGAACGUCUGUGAAUCACAGCGAUGAUGUGCAAAUGAUCAGCAUGAGGAGAACAGCUGAUUGUGAGGAGAUUUCUCUUUAAUUAGUGCAAGACGACAGAGCUCUGAAUCAUGUGUGUGUGUAUAGUGAGUAAGUGUGUAUGUAUGUAUGUGUGAGUGUGUAUAAUGUAUGUGUGUGUGUGAGUGUGUAUAGUGUGUGUGUGUGUGUGUGUGUGUGUAUGUGCUUGCAGGUGUGCGUGUUUUUGUGAUUUAUGAGGACACAAAUGUGUAUAAUGACAUUGGUAUUACACUGGUAUUACGACGUAAACAUGAAAUAUGAGGACAUUUCAUGAGUCCUCAUUUAAAAUAGCUUUAAAAACAUACUAAACAGUGUUUUAUUAAAAAUGUAAAAAAGCAGACAGUUUCCUGUGAUGGGUAGAGUUAGGGGUAGUGUAGGGCGAGAGAAUGUACAGUUUGUACAGUAUAAAAACCAUUACGCCUAUGGAGAGUCCUCACUAAGAUAGCAAAACAAACCUGUGUGUGUGUGUGUGUGUGUGAGUGUGUGUGAGUGAGUGUGUAUAAUGUGAGUGUGUAUAGUGUGUGUGUGUGUGUGUGUGUGUGAGUGUGUGUGAGUGAGUGUGUAUAAUGUGAGUGUGUAUAGUGUGUGUGUGUGUGUGUGUGAGUGAGUGUGAGUGAGUGUGUAUAAUGUGAGUGUGUAUAGUGUGUGUGUGUGUGUGUGUGUGUGUGCCCACACAUGCUCUACUGUCUCUAAAGCCAAGACGUGACACCUGCUGAAUCACCAGUGAGAUUCACCUGAGUCAUUUAGAUAAAUAGAGGCAUCAGCAGCAGCGAGACACACAGAGCCGCUGAACGCUGAAGCUUCACACACUGACGCUUGAGCUUCACUCAAAGCAUGUUUAAAAGUCUUUGCUUGCUCUUCUUUAGAGACGGCCAGCAGGGUGGAUUAUUGUGAUGGACUCCUCACUGGCCUUCCCAAAAACACCGUAAGACAUCUGCAGCUCGUACAGAACGCUGAGCAGAAGCAGAAAACAUGAACACAUCACACCAGUCCUCAGGUCCCUGCACUGGCUUCCAGUUGCAUUUAGAAUUGAUUUUAAAGUACUGUUACUUGUGUAUAAAUCACUCAAUGGCCUAGGACCUCAAUACAUUGCAGAUAUGCUCAUAGAAUAUAAAGCUAACAGAUCACUCAGAAAUAUCAAGGGUUCGCUCUAAACAAGAGUUUUCUUUUAUCUGUUACGCCAGCCGCAGCUGAACCAGCUUCCAGAAGAGAUCAGAUGUGCUCCAACAGCAGUCACAUUCACAUCCAGACUCAAAACACUUCUGUUUACGCUGUGCUACAUCCCAACUGACUGCACUGUAUUUUAUUUAUGUAUGUUUUUUAUCAAUUUUUUUAUCAAUAUCAAUUUUUAUUCUCCACUUUUAUUGCUAUUUCUAUUUUUAUGAACUGCACUGUAUUUUCUUAACUGUUUUAAUGCAUUUUAUAUCAACCUUUUAAUUCUUAUGUGUUUGUUUCCUUUCUAUGUAAAGCACUUUGAAUUACCAUUGUGUAUGAAAUGUGCUGUAUAAAUAAACUUGCCUUGCACAAAGAGGUCAAAAUCCUUCA